AACUGCGACCCCAGGUCAGGCG
rnacentral:rRNA from 4 species